GAUGAACGCUGGCGGCGUGCCUAAUACAUGCAAGUCGAGCGAACAGAUAAGGAGCUUGCUCCUUUGACGUUAGCGGCGGACGGGUGAGUAACACGUGGGUAACCUACCUAUAAGACUGGGAUAACUUCGGGAAACCGGAGCUAAUACCGGAUAACAUUUGGAACCGCAUGGUUCUAAAGUGAAAGAUGGUUUUGCUAUCACUUAUAGAUGGACCCGCGCCGUAUUAGCUAGUUGGUAAGGUAACGGCUUACCAAGGCAACGAUACGUAGCCGACCUGAGAGGGUGAUCGGCCACACUGGAACUGAGACACGGUCCAGACUCCUACGGGAGGCAGCAGUAGGGAAUCUUCCGCAAUGGGCGAAAGCCUGACGGAGCAACGCCGCGUGAGUGAUGAAGGGUUUCGGCUCGUAAAACUCUGUUAUUAGUGAAGAACAAAUGUGUAAGUAACUGUGCACGUCUUGACGGUACCUAAUCAGAAAGCCACGGCUAACUACGUG
rnacentral:rRNA from 1 species